rnacentral:lncRNA from 13 species
AUGACAAAUUGUAUUGCUGAAAGAUGUCUGUAUUUCUCCCGUCUACUCCAACUGGAUGACAGUACGAUGUCACUCUGCGACUGGCCUCUCUGGACCAUGUUGAAGACAGAAUCCUCAGAGAUUCCAAACACAGAACUCAGUGGUGCCGAGUGGGGUCUGUGUCUCAUCUCUCUAUCACCACCCUCAGGUGAGGAGACAUAUCGCUCUUCGUCAUCACUCAGCAAAGAGGUCAUGGACCUGCAGAAUGCACAACAGAAAUGAAAUAGUACAUGGUAACAAAAUAAAAAACAUGAUCCAAGAAUUUGGGACACACACUCAACCUUGUUAUUGUUAUUCAAAGGAAGCAUUGUGAACCAUCUCAAAUGACACUCACGACCAAAUAUGAACAUUUAGAGUAAACCUUUUAGAGUGGUUGUGUAGUAUUUCUCACUAAGUGGAUCUGGAAUGGAUAUUUGUACUAAUAACAAGGGACAUGGGAAUAAUGUUUUUAGAAAGACCUACAGGAGGGGAUAGGGGUAGGUACCCGUGAGAGGAGGGGAUAGGGGUAGGUACCNNNNNNNNNNUACAUGUAACUAAUAGGGCUGCACAUAAGUUCUGCAGUCCUUGCCCAGUACGUAUGCACUUAGAGAAGCGGUUGAAAAACAGCUAGUUACGUUGGAGUCAGAAGGGGUCCUUCCUCCAACUACAGUCAAUGGGCUGCUCCAAUUGUGUGUAUCCUGAAAACAGACAGUACUGUAAGAAUAUGUGGAGAUUACAAGGUAACUAUCAAUCCGUGGCUGGAAGUAGAUCAGUAUCCCUUACCAAAAACACAGGACUUGUUCAAAAAGCUGACCGGNNNNNNNNNNGUUUUGCUAAAGCCUUCUUGGCUGACUGCCACUGUUCUGUCUUGUAGAGCCACAAGAGGUUCACAACUUGCACUCAAUCCACUACCAUGGAGAGGAGAGGUUCUCUUCAAACUGGUGUCGCUCACAACCGACAUACUCCUGGGGGGCAGAGUGACAUCCUCACUGCAUGUGUCAAUUACAUGGUGGUCUGUGGAGGAGCCACUCGAAGACACAAGGGCUUUAGACCUUUUAGUCAAACUGACUUUUGAAAAUGGCUUCUCACUUCUCACAG